UACGUAGGGUGCGAGCGUUAAUCGGAAUUACUGGGCGUAAAGCGUGCGCAGGCGGUUCGUUAAGACAGAUGUGAAAUCCCCGGGCUUAACCUGGGAACUGCAUUUGUGACUGGCGAGCUAGAGUAUGGCAGAGGGGGGUAGAAUUCCACGUGUAGCAGUGAAAUGCGUAGAGAUGUGGAGGAAUACCGAUGGCGAAGGCAGCCCCCCUGGGCCAAUACUGACGCUCAUGCCACGAAAGCGUGGGGAGCAAACAGG
rnacentral:rRNA from 1 species